UCGCUAUCAUGCGCCGCUGGGUAACAAGCCCAUUCUUCCCUCUCCAUUUUCACUUUCGUAUUAUUAUAUCCUCUCCACGAUCGAUCUCCGAGAUUGCUCACAGCUUCGUCUGACGAACAAGGAACGUUGCGAAUAACAGCUGGCGUUUGUUCUUGAUUUCGUAUGCUUUACGAGUUUAAUUGCUUGCUGUGCAGCUUGUAUUCGUCCGCCGGAAUAUCCUGUCAACGAUCGGAGAUGCAUUUUUCUGUCCGAUGAAUUUUCACUAGCAGAUCUGUAUGUCUCUCGCACCGUGAAGUAUAUUGUGUACAGAUGAGAUAAAGAUUAAGUAUCCCGGUGAUGCUCAGAUGAGAAGAACUGAUGUUAUUUGCAGCAGAAGGAGGAGGGUUUUUCUCUUCAUCAGCUUCAGGGUAUAGCAAGGGCUUGACUCUUCUUCUAUUGGGCCAGAAAAAAGAAGAUAGACCGAUGAGAGUAUCACCGUGGAAUCAGUACCAAUUGGUGGACCAAGAGACUGAACCUUAUCUCCAGCUGGCUUCUGGGAAGAAAAGACCUACCUGCGGCUGUGCCUCCUUUGUAUGCUUUGGUCGUACUUCCGCCAAACUUGAAUGCCCUUCUCCCAUAAAAGUAGAUUCGACUCUGAACCAAGAAGUUUUGCCAGGAAAUCCAGCAUUGGAUGAGGAUCAAGCAGCAAAAAGUUAUGGUGGAUGUGUUGUGGUUGGUGAUGAUAAGAUAGUUAGUCUUAGAAGUAGCUUGAAAAAGACACCAGAUUGUACACCACUUGCUUCCAUUGGAAGCCGUGCUGAUGGUCGAAAGAACCAUGAGAAUGAAACAGUAUGUGAAAAUAGUAAUGACAUUGCUUGUCAAAAGGAGAGGAGGAAAGUGCAGUGGACGGAUACAGUUGGGGGAGAGCUUUUUGAGAUUCGGGAAUUUGAAAUGAGUGAAGAUGAAUUGGACGAUGAUUUUGCCCGUGGGGUCGGAAAGACUUGUUCGUGCAGGGUAAUGUAGCCUUGGAUCUUCUCUCUUUUCAUGGUUCAAUUUUCAUGAGGCUGGUAUGUAGUGUUGGCUCCCACCCACCAGCAGUCCCAAUGGUAGUUUGAGACAAUGGGACAUUCCCUAUGUCAUUGGCUGAUCGGAUGUCCUCGGUGGUGGUGGGAAAUCUGUGCUGCUGCUGCCGCUCUCUUGAGUUACUUGAUGACGUCCUAGUGCCUGGAAAUCAACUAAAUGCCCAUUGCUGGGGAAAUCGAAUAUCAGAGGAUAUGGAGAAGAAGAAGAAGAUGAUGAUGAAUAAAAUGGUGAAGCAGAGGAAGUGUUCAAUUGCUGUGAAUCAAAAAGCAUUUGCUCGAACAAAUAAUCUCUGGCAGCAGUGGUUUCGGUUUCAUAGAACUGCUGGGAAGGAAGCGCAGCUGUUGUUAUCAUUUGAUGAGGCUGAGGUGGCUGCAGUGGCGGAUUUAUCCUCACAUGUUCAGGAAAAUUGAGCUUGGCCCUGUGGCCUCUAAAUCUCAAGGCGGCUUCAUCAUAUGCUCUGGCAGCAUCCUCUGCUGUGUUGAAGGUGCCGAGCCAUACCCGAGCUGCUUUCUGGGGGUCUCUUAUUUCUGCCGCCCAUUUGCCCCACGGCCUCCGGCGAACACCUCUGUAUUUCCUCUCCCUGUUUUCGGGUAUUUGUUCCAUCAACCCAAUAUUGGCAAAGCUUCCGGAGGCAUUGGCAGCAUUUAUGACUUGGCCGUUAUGUUCCUGAUAAGAAACUUGCCCCACUUCCACUCCUGACAUAUCCAUUGCUGGUGGCGGCCGUGGUGGCACAGCCGCGGCAGAUAGUAGGUAACCGGAAUGCUGUUGGUGUUGCUGCAUAUGGAACUGUGAAAGAAAGAAACUGUUGAAUAUUAUUACCAAAUCCUUAUUCUUGAAAGUUCACCAUUGAAGAAGACAAUCAAAUCCAAGCUGCUGAGAGUUGAAGAAAACUAUGGUAAGCAGUAAA